rnacentral:rRNA from 1 species
UACAGAGGGUGCUAGCGUUGUUCGGAAUUAUUGGGCGUAAAGCGCUUGUAGGCGGCCUGUCAAGUCGCGUGUGAAAUCCCCUGGCUCAACCAGGGAAGUGCGCGCGAAACUGGCGGGCUUGAGUGCCGGAGAGGGUCGCGGAAUUCCCGGUGUAGAGGUGAAAUUCGUAGAUAUCGGGAGGAACACCAGUGGCGAAGGCAGGUCUCUGGGCAUUAACUGACGCUGAGGAGCGAAAGCAUGGGGAGCGAACAGG